rnacentral:rRNA from 1 species
GAUGAACGCUGGCGGCGUGCCUAAUACAUGCAAGUCGAGCGAAUGGAUUAAGAGCUUGCUCUUAUGAAGUUAGCGGCGGACGGGUGAGUAACACGUGGGUAACCUGCCCAUAAGACUGGGAUAACUCCGGGAAACCGGGGCUAUUACCGGAUAACAUUUUGAACCGCAUGGUUCGAAAUUGAAAGGCGGCUUCGGCUGUCACUUAUGGAUGGACCCGCGUCGCAUUAGCUAGUUGGUGAGGUAACGGCUCACCAAGGCAACGAUGCGUAGCCGACCUGAGAGGGUGAUCGGCCACACUGGGACUGAGACACGGCCCAGACUCCUACGGGAGGCAGCAGGAGGGAAUCUUCCGCAAUGGACGAAAGUCUGACGGAGCAACGCCGCGUGAGUGAUGAAGGCUUUCGGGUCGUAAAACUCCGUUGUUAGGGAAGAACAAGUGCUAGUUGAAUAAGCUGGCACCUUGACGGUACCUAACCAGAAAGCCACGGCUAACUACGUGCCAGCCGCCGCGGUAA